rnacentral:sRNA from 1 species
GCCGCUCGAUGGGCGAGGAGGCGGCGGCGGCGGGGGCGGUGGGGGCCGCGGGCCGGGCCGCCGCUCCGAGGUGAAGGCGCGCGCCCCUCCCCGCCUGCCUCCCGGGCCGCAGCGAUGAAUUCCGCCGAGCAGACCGUUACGUGGCUCAUCACUCUGGGGGUGCUGGAGUCGCCCAAAAAAACCAUCUCGGACCCGGAGGGCUUUCUGCAGGCGUCGCUGAAGGAUGGGGUGGUCCUCUGCAGGCUGCUGGAGCGCCUGCUCCCCGGGACCAUCGAGAAAUCCUGCAGGCACUGCUUCUCCCUUCCGGCUGGUGGUUCCCAGGCUGGAGCGUGUGAACCCUGACCCGAAUCUCUGGAAGUGAUUAAAGUUUGUUUUCAUCGCCCACAAGCCGGCCAGCAGGGCCGAGGAGGCAGGAGAGCUUCUAAAAACGAUGUCUCCCUGUAGCUCAAAAUACUAAAAUCUUAUUCCCAGGGUGUUUCUUCGGGGUGGGGG